AUCGUUUUGGGUCGCGCAAUCUACGAAAAUUAGAUAUCAAUUCACGAACGCGAAUUGAUGAUUAAUUACGUAAAGCUGCCCAAAUAGUAAAUAGUAUUGCUCAAAACUAAGUUAGAUGAUCGGCGCGCGACCUUGAAGUGGGGAUGACUCGGAGUGGCGCGUCAUGUUUAUGCGUAGUUACCGUGCGAUCAUUCCCUUACCGAGGCUCGUACAAACAGAUUCUUUUCACGGAUACGACCUUGACGUGGUGGGAGAGUUCAGUACCCAGAGG